rnacentral:SRP_RNA from 1 species
CGCGCUAAGCGGGGAGUUAGCGGUGCCCUGAACCUGCAAUCCGCUACAGCAGGGCCGAAUUCUUGGUUCGAGACUUAUAUUCGUGGAGUCUGAUCCCGGUAAGGAGUGUUGAACGUCGGGUCCCGUGCAACCGAACGCCGUGAACCAUGUCAGAUCCUGACGGAAGCAGCAUUAAGCGGACUGUACGGUGUGCCGCGGGGAAACCUGAAAGGAGCCACCUGCCGGAGAA